GGGAAUUUUAGGCCAAAUUUUGAGAGAAAAUGUGAUCGAAAUAGUAGUUUAAAGGCCGAAACACAUAAAGAAUGAAAAAAACCAAUGUAAACACUGCAUGCAUAUGUUUUUUGUCAACUGAAUUAUUAAGGUAACAUCUGUUACCAUUAAUGAUAGAUAACGGCUGUUACUGUAACGUAAUGGUGAUAACAGUCGUUACCAAUGUAACUCAGCAUUUGCUUUUAAAUAA
rnacentral:misc_RNA from 1 species